rnacentral:rRNA from 1 species
CAGCCGCCGCGGUAAUACCGAGGGUGCGAGCGUUAAUCGGAUUUACUGGGCGUAAAGCGUGCGUAGGCGGCUUCUUAAGUCGGAUGUGAAAUCCCUGAGCUUAACUUAGGAAUUGCAUUCGAUACUGGGAAGCUAGAGUAUGGGAGAGGAUGGUAGAAUUCCAGGUGUAGCGGUGAAAUGCGUAGAGAUCUGGAGGAAUACCGAUGGCGAAGGCAGCCAUCUGGCCUAAUACUGACGCUGAGGUACGAAAGCAUGGGGAGCAAACAGGAUUAGAUACCCCAGUAGUCCCUGUCUCUUAUAA